UACGGAGGGUGCGAGCGUUGUUCGGAAUCACUGGGCGUAAAGCGCGUGUAGGCGGCCCAUUAAGUCUGAUGUGAAAGCCCGGGGCUCACCCCCGGAAGUGCAUUGGAAACUGAUGGACUCGAGUCCCGGAGAGGAGAGUGGAAUUCCCGGUGUAGCGGUGAAAUGCGCAGAGAUCGGGAGGAACACCCGUAGCGAAGGCGGCACUCUGGGCCGGUACUGACGCUGAGGAGCGAAAGCGUGGGGAGCAAACAGG
rnacentral:rRNA from 1 species